GAUUUUGGGUUGCAGCCGAUCGGCUGGGCUAGACAGCUGCAGCCCAAAACGCUGUACCCAGUUGAACCGAUCAGCCCGUAUAUUCUACCAGCUGCUGAGCGAUGCGGGAAAGAACAAUGUGACCGCGCCGCUAUGGGGGUUGUGGCCUCACGCUUGGUGGCCUCGUGCGACGCCGGAGAGAGCUGUAUCGUGCUGGAGAAGGAACCUCCUCGUCGGAGAGAGCUGCUACCGUGCUGGAGAGGGAACCUCGUCGGUGCCCCUGCUUGUCAUUCUCUCCGCGCCGCUAAGCUCGUCUCUCCGAUCUGCGAUGGAGAGGGACGUCACGCCAGCACCGGUAGAGAGAAGGGCGAGGCCGCCGCGGGCUGUCACACCCCAAUUUGGCACCGCCGUACAACGGCACCUGACAGGAGCGUGUCAUAGGAAAAAACGG
rnacentral:lncRNA from 1 species